rnacentral:rRNA from 1 species
GGAAUAUUGGUCAAUGGGAGGAAUCCUGAACCAGCCAUGCCGCGUGCGGGAGGAAGGCCCUACGGGUCGUAAACCGCUUUUGCCCGGGGAUAGUGCGCGUCACGAGUGGCGCGAGGGAAGGUACCGGGCGAAUAAGCAUCGGCUAACUCCGUGCCAGCAGCCGCGGUAAUACGGAGGAUGCGAGCGUUAUCCGGAUUUAUUGGGUUUAAAGGGUGCGCAGGCGGACCGGUAAGUCAGCGGUGAAAUCCACACGCCCAACGUGUGAAGUGCCGUUGAUACUGGCGGACUGGUAGGCCGGGGGCGCGGCCGGAAUGUGUCGUGUAGCGGUGAAAUGCAUAGAUAUGACACAGAACGCCGAUCGUGAAGACAGGUCGCGAACCGGAGAUAGACGCUCAAGCACGAAAGCGUGGGGAUCAAACA